rnacentral:rRNA from 1 species
CCUACGGGAGGCAGCAGUGAGGAAUAUUGAGCAAUGGGCGCAAGCCUGACUCAGCAACGCCGCGUGGGCGAUGAAGGCCUUCGGGUUGUAAAGCCCUUUUCUGGGGGACGAGGAAGGACGGUACCCCAGGAAUAAGUCACGGCUAACUACGUGCCAGCAGCCGCGGUAACACGUAGGUGGCGAGCGUUAUCCGGAUUCACUGGGCGUAAAGCGCGUGCAGGCGGUUCCGUAAGUCGGACGUGAAAGCUCCUGGGUUAACUGGGAGAGGGCGUUCGAUACUGCGGGACUAGAGGGUGGUAGAGGGAGGUGGAAUUCCCGGUGUAGUGGUGAAAUGCGUAGAUAUCGGGAGGAACACCAGUGGCGAAGGCGGCCUCCUGGACCAUACCUGACGCUCAGACGCGAAAGCUAGGGGAGCGAACGGGAUUAGAUACCCGGGUAGU